rnacentral:rRNA from 1 species
UACGUAGGGUGCGAGCGUUAAUCGGAAUUACUGGGCGUAAAGCGUGCGCAGGCGGUCUGUUAAGACAGAUGUGAAAUCCCCGGGCUCAACCCGGGAACUGCGUCCGAUACUGGCAGGCUUGAAUCCGGGAGAGGGAUGCGGAAUUCCAGGUGUAGCGGUGAAAUGCGUAGAGUAUCAGGAGGAACACCGGUGGCGAAGGCGGAUCUCUGGGCCAUUACUGACGCUGAGGAGCGAAAGCGUGGGGAGCGAACAGG